UGGGGAAUAUUGCACAAUGGAGGGAACUCUGAUGCAGCGACGCCGCGUGAACGAAGAAGGCUUUCGAGUCGUAAAGUUCUUUUAUAUGGGAAGAUAAUGACGGUACCAUAAGAAAAAGCCCCGGCUAACUACGUGCCAGCAGCCGCGGUAAUACGUAGGGGGCUAGCGUUGACCGGAAUCACUGGGCGUAAAGGGUUCGCAGGCGGAAAUGCAAGUCAGGUGUAAAAGGCAGUAGCUUAACUACUGUAAGCAUUUGAAACUGCAUAUCUUGAGAAGAGUGGAGGUAAGUGGAAUUUUUAGUGUAGCGGUGAAAUGCGUAGAUAUUAAAAAGAAUACCGGUGGCGAAGGCGACUUACUGGGCUCAUUCUGACGCUGAGGAACGAAAGCGUGGGUAGCAAACAGG
rnacentral:rRNA from 1 species